UCUGGAAGACAUGGCUCCCGGGAUACCAGGCAAUGACCAGUGACUGUCCUGGAAAAGACAGGACCAGAGGAAGGCCAUGACUUCAUGUGUAAGAGCCAUAACCAGAGAGAACUGGGUGCCCAGGGCCUCUCCUGAGGUUGGGAAGAGGCCUGCUCCAGGAGAUUACGAAAUGCUUCAGAGAACUAUCUGACUUGGAACAUGACUGGAUGCUGGACAGUCAGCUGUUUCCUAGAUCUGUGUGUUUAUUCCUGACCAUUUACCUGUUACCUGAAUCUCAGCUUCUGAGGAAGAAAACCAGCUCAUCAUAGUAUCGAUUCCCAAGCAGAAAUGGAAACAGAGACACAGGGCUGACUUUGUGGGGGACCUGGGAAUACCAGCAAGGCAGAAUGCUUUGAAUCCCUUGUUCCAAUCCAGGGACACAGGCAAGUUUCACUGGAUUUUAUUCACGCUCCUGUCUUAAAAUUGAUGUACUUUCACUGAAAAAUUUACAUAGGAAACUUAAAAUUCCAAA